CCCGCCGCCGCCCGCCCGCCCGCCCCGCCGCCGCCCGCCGCCCGCCGCCCGCCGCCCGCCGCCCGCCCGCCCCGCCCCGCCCGCCCCGCCCCCGCCCGCCCGCCCCGCCCCGCCCCCCCCCCCCCCGCCCCGCCCCCGCCCGCCCGCCGCCGCCCGCCGCCCGCCGCCCGCCGCCCGCCGCCGCCCGCCGCCGCCCCGCCGCCGCCCGCCGCCCGCCGCCCGCCGCCCCGCCGCCGCCCGCCGCCCCGCCCGCCCCGCCCCGCCCGCCCCGCCCCGCCCCGCCCGCCCGCCGCCGCCCGCCGCCGCCCGCCGCCCGCCGCCCGCCGCCCGCCCGCCCCGCCCCCGCCCGCCCCGCCGCCGCCCGCCGCCCGCCGCCCGCCGCCGCCCGCCGCCCGCCCGCCCGCCCCGCCCGCCGCCGCCCCGCCGCCGCCCGCCGCCCGCCGCCCGCCGCCCGCCGCCCGCCGCCGCCCGCCGCCCGCCGCCCGCCGCCCGCCGCCCGCCGCCCGCCGCCCGCCGCCCGCCGCCGCCCGCCGCCCCGCCCGCCGCCGCCCGCCGCCCGCCGCCCCGCCGCCGCCCGCCCGCCCCGCCCCGCCCCCCCCCCCCCCGCCCCCGCCCGCCGCCGCCCGCCCGCCGCCGCCCGCCGCCCGCCCGCCGCCGCCCGCCCGCCCGCCCCGCCCCCGCCCGCCGCCGCCCGCCCGCCCCGCCCCGCCCGCCCCGCCCGCCGCCGCCCGCCCGCCGCCGCCCGCCGCCCGCCGCCCGCCGCCCGCCGCCGCCCCGCCGCCGCCCGCCGCCGCCCGCCGCCGCCCCGCCCGCCCCGCCCCCCCCCCCCCCCGCCCCCGCCCGCCCGCCGCCGCCCGCCGCCCGCCCGCCGCCGCCCGCCGCCCCGCCGCCGCCCGCCGCCGCCCGCCGCCGCCCGCCCGCCGCCGCCCCGCCGCCGCCCGCCGCCCCGCCCGCCGCCGCCCGCCGCCGCCCGCCGCCCGCCCCGCCCCCGCCCGCCCCGCCCCCGCCCGCCCGCCCCGCCCGCCCCGCCCCGCCCCGCCCGCCCGCCGCCCGCCCGCCGCCCGCCCCGCCCCGCCCCCCCCCCCCCUUCCCCCCCCUCUGAGUUGUGGGGGAGGGCCCACGCCAGGCCAUGGCCGGUGGUCCGGCGCUGGGGCCCGCGCGCCUCGGCGUGUGGUGUGCGCGCGCGCGCGCGGCCCGCGCGCGGUGUCCUCCCGCCUCUCCCGUGGCGGUGUGUGUCCCGAGGGGCUUGGGGCGCCCCUGCGCGCCCCGCCCCCCCCUGCGCCGCGUGGGUGGCGGCUGUCUCCCGCCCGCUCCUCCCGUUCCGGGCUCGCCGCUGGCGGGUGGUGCGCGGGCGCGGGUCGGGACCCCAGGGCCGUGCGUUGUGGGGCGGGGCCUGGCUCGUGGGGAGGCUCGCUAAGGGUGCUGAGGCCGGCUGGCGCCGCGGGCGUCGCGGGACCGCCCUCGUGCUGGUGGCGGUGGGAUCCCGUGCACGUUUACCCGGUGGCCUGGCUCGCGUCUCCGUUGGCGCGCCCUUCCCCGAGCCCGUGCCCUCCUCCGCGCGCGCGCUCUCUGGUCCUCGCUUCGUGCGUGUGCCUCCUCCCCGCAGCCUCCGGCCCACCUCCCGUUCUGUGCUGCUUUUUUUUUUCCCCCCCCCCCCCGCCCCCGCCCCGCCCGCCCGCCGCCCCGCCCCGCCCCGCCCCGCCCCCCCCCCCCCCCCCCCGCCCCCGCCCCGCCCGCCCGCCCGCCGCCCCGCCCGCCCCGCCCCGCCCGCCGCCCCGCCCGCCCCGCCCCGCCCGCCGCCCCGCCCCGCCCGCCGCCCGCCCGCCCCGCCCCGCCCCGCCCCGCCCGCCCCGCCCCGCCCCGCC
ensembl:lncRNA